GCGGAUAGCUCAAUUGGUAAGAGUGCGGUGCGGAUAAAGGCAAGGUUGCAGGUUCGAUCCCUGUAAGGGACAGAUGCA